rnacentral:lncRNA from 1 species
UCUGCCAUGAUUGGAAGUUUCCUGAAGCCUCCCAGCCAUGCGGAACUUUCUGGAGGCUGGAAGUCCAAGAUCAAGGUGCUAUCAGGGUUGGUUUCGGCUGUGGCCUCUCUUCCUGGCUUGUAGACAGCUAUCUUCUCGCAGUGUCCUCACGUGGCCUCUUUGUGUGAAGGAAGCUGCUAAAGAAUGUGCUUGACUAAAACAAGGCAAUAAGCAAAAGGAAGUCAUAGCAUCCAGAAAAUGGGAUCCAUCAUGCGCACAAAGAAAAGGUGAAGAAAAUUUCCAGGAUGUUCAGAACCCACCAAAAACGAAAGAUUCUGGUCCAGAUCAGAAGAGAGGGAAACACUCUGAAAAAGUCCCUCAAAUACAAAAUUAAACAGAGUUUAAAUGAUGUGCUUGACCACAAUAAAAGGCUUCUUGCUCUGUAAGAUUUCUGGAAUUAAUUAGUGAUAAGCAAAGAUAAAUAUAAGCAAAUCAUCACAACAGAGUGAACACAUUCCAGUAGACCACAUGGAUGAGCUUUGGAAAAUACAGAUAUACGCAUAAUGUAAUCCCUUAAUUUCUGGGAGGCUGGAGGGAGGGAAAGUUUGAGAAGGUAAAAUGUGUGUGUUAAGAGUGGGAGUGGGUAAUAUGGUUAGGCUUUGUGUUCCCACACAAAUCUCAUCUGGAAUUGUAAUCCCCAUAAUCCCCACUUAUCAAGGGAGAAACCAGGUGGAGAUAACUGAAUCAUUGGAGGCAGUUUCCCCCAUGCUAUUCCUCUGAUAGUGAAUUCUCA